UCCGAGUUGACCCCGGCAGUCUCCUGCGAGUCCCCGCCAUUACGCGCUGGCAACACAGGACAAGGGUUGCGCUCGUUGCGGGACUUAACCCAACAUCUCACGACACGAGCUGACGACAGCCAUGCACCACCUGUAUACCGACCACAAGGGGGGCCGUAUCUCUACGGCUUUCCGGUAUAUGUCAAACCCAGGUAAGGUGGGGAUGACGUGUCCUUGAUAGG
rnacentral:misc_RNA from 1 species